rnacentral:piRNA from 1 species
UCAGAGAACAAGUUCACUCUGGCUGGAAGU